CCUGAGAAACCCAAAAGAUCGAAUGGGGAGAUUCAUCGUCAGCGUGGCUGGCUUCCGUGCGGUUCGCGAUGGCCGGGAUCUCGGUCCCGCGUCACGCGUCCGCCGCGGUAUGUCUGGCCGCGUCGGCGUGCACUUCUCCCCUAGUAGGACGUCGCGACCCGUUGGGUGUCGGACCGAUGGCCGUUUGGUCGACUGUCUCGUCGCGUUCACGCGUGCACGCGGCAGACCGAAAUGGUCGAGCGUCCGGCUGCCCGGCGGUAUAGAACGCUAUUGAACGGUAACGAGCCGCACUAAUGCGUUCAGGCUCGUCGGCAGGCUCGUCUCGCCCGGAUUUACGGACCUAGCGCCGUUGCCGGGUGCUUGGCGUGGCUGUUAGUCGACGAUGUUCUCGGACUGGCUCGAAAAUUCGAAAGGAUUACCGGUCGGCGACGCUACUGCUUUGGGUACUUUC
rnacentral:rRNA from 1 species